rnacentral:rRNA from 1 species
CAGCGCCACGAGUGGUAACCGCGAUUAUUGGGCCUAAAGCGUCCGUAGCCGGUUCAGCAAAUCCUUUGUGAGAUUGUCUGGCUCAACCAUACAACGUGCAAGGGACACUAUUGAACUCGAGACCGGGAGGAGUCAGAAGUAUUCCAGAGGGAGCGGUAAAAUGUUAUAAUCUCUGGAGGACUACCUGUGGCGAAGGCGUCUGACCAGAACGGAUCUGACGGUGAGGGACGAAAGCCAGGGGAGCGAACCGGAUUAGAUACCCGAGUAGUCC